rnacentral:rRNA from 1 species
UGAGGAAUAUUGGUCAAUGGCCGGGAGGCUGAACCAGCCAAGUCGCGUGAGGGAAGACGGCCCUACGGGUUGUAAACCUCUUUUGUCAGGGAGCAAGAGGCGGGUCGAGACCUGCUGUGAGAGUACCUGAAGAAAAAGCAUCGGCUAACUCCGUGCCAGCAGCCGCGGUAAUACGGAGGAUGCGAGCGUUAUCCGGAUUUAUUGGGUUUAAAGGGUGCGCAGGCGGAGGCACAAGUCAGCGGUAAAAUCGCGGGGCUCAACCCCGCUCCGCCGUUGAAACUGUGUCCCUUGAGUGCGCGAAGGGUAGGCGGAAUGCGUGGUGUAGCGGUGAAAUGCAUAGAUAUCACGCAGAACUCCGAUCGCGAAGGCAGCCUACCGGCGCGCAACUGACGCUCAUGCACGAAAGCGUGGGUAUCGAACAGG